ACCAAUGCUCUGGUUGCCUGGGCUCCCAACGGUCUUGGAAGUCUGCGGCAUCAUCACGGCCGUCAUAAGCAGCAGCGUUGCUGGGGUAAUGGUCAGUGGACAAGAACAACUUGUGGCUGGGGUUCGGGAGCCGGGGAGGAGGGGCUGGACCCGGCGUUCUCGCCCACUCUUGCCUUGCAGCAUUUCUGGCCCUCUGUUCUCCAGACCUUCCAACUACCCGUGUUUGCCCUCCUGAUUGUUCAUGGUGUCUGCUAACAGUGAGAACUGUCCCCUUCCAACCCGGCCGUCCCCCUGAUCGGGCCGCCCCCCACUCCAGCCAGGCGGUACCGCCCCAGGACCAAAGAUGCCCCACCUCUACCCUAUGCCCGUCCUCUUUGUGAUCCUACAUUUUCUCUUCAUGCUCCUCCUCCAUUUCCUACCCUUCCUUCUAUUUCCUGUACUUUUGUUACUAGUCUUCCUGCCUCUUCUGGCCCGAGACUCUGAGGAGGACGCAGGAGCACAGGAGGAGAACUAAUCUGGACCCUCUUUAGGUGGAGUUGUUUCCCAAUGGAUGUUACUAUGUGGAAAUUUAAAUGUCAUCAUUGUAACCUGCUAAUGGAGAUGAGAUGUUCUGCCAUUGGGAAUGAAUUCAACUGAAUUAAGACAACCUCAGGCAGAGGGGAUUUAGUUUUAAUAAUGGGUUUUUGUUCAAAUAUUAAUGACAUAACAUUGUUUAUUACAUUGUUGUGUUUCAAAAUGUUCUCAUAUGGGAAAAUGUGGUCAAAUUGGAAACACUGGUCAAAUUUUUAUAAGCUAUGUUGUUAGAAAAGCAAUCUAGAUGUUGUUAGAUUAAGAAAUGGACUGUAACAAUGUGCUUGAUGUUCCAAAGUACUCUGAUUUAAGAACUAAUACACUUGCACUUAUGCUCAUGAAUAAAUAGAAAUUUUAUCUUCA